CACCUCCUCCAUCUCCACACUCAUUUUCGGCUCCGCACAGCAGCCGAAGGAAUCCAAAACAGGUAGAUCGAAGUUAAUUACCAAAGUUUUGAUGGAGGAUCUACCGGAACACUUGCUUUUAGAUAUUCUGAAACGAAUUGAUCGAACUGCGGAUAGGAAUUCCAUUUCUGUAGUUUGCAAGCGACUGCAUAGGGCUGAGGCGGAGCAACGGGAUGUCUUGCGUGUUGGAUGUGGGCUGCACCCCGCGAUCGAAGCAUUUACUGCAUUAUGUAGUCGGUUUCAAAAUUUAUUGAAGCUAGAGAUUAACUACACCGGUUGGAAGCCGGCUUUGGGCGAGCAGCUGGGGAAUGAAGCCUUGCAGGUUUUGUCUUCUAACUGUACUUCACUCAAAGAACUAUCCCUAAGUUUUUGCGCUUUCAUCGAUGAUGCUGCCAUUUGGUUUUUAUCUUCUUGCCCAUAUUUGACGUCUCUCACGCUAAAUUUUGUUCCGAGUAUCAGCUCUACUGGGAUCUUAUCUGCGGUAAAUUGCUGCAAGAACCUUUCCACCCUGCACCUUAUUCGCUGCAUGACAGUGAGCAGCACUGAGUGGCUUGAGCACUUGGGGAAAUCAGGAAAUCUAAGGGAACUUUCCAUCAAGAACUGCAGGGGUAUAAGUGAGGUCGACAUCAUAAAGCUGGGUCCUGGGUGGAAGAAGCUCAGGAAAUUGGAUUUUGCCGUGGAUGCGUACUAUCAAUACCCAAACCUCCAUGAUCGGUUAUUGCUCGAUGAACUUGAUCAGGAAUCGGUUUCCUGUGACGAGCUAAGAGAAUUAAGUUUGACAAACUGCAUAGUUGCCCCAGGCCAUGGGCUGUCAUUUCUACUCCGAAAAUGUGCUGCUUUGGAAAAGCUUUUGUUGAACAUGUGCAUAGGGGUAAUGCACAGCGAUUUUGUUGCGCUAUCCAAGAAGUCGAGCAACCUUCGUGCCUUAACAGUGCGCCUCCCUUUGAGGCUUCAUGGGUCUAUUCUCGAGAAUAACCACUUGCCGUUGAGAGAUGGCAGUUUGAGGGCACUAGCGGCUGGGUGUCCCAUGCUUAACACGCUUGACCUGUCUUUUUCCGAUUGGGAUUAUCCAUCCGCCUCAUUCUUUACCCAGGAAGCUCUGAUUGCUGUGAUUCAGUGCUGCCCAAUUCAUGCGUUGAAGCUUCACUGCGCUGUCUUCUUCAAUGACAUUGGCAUGAGGGUGCUUGGUGCAUCACAAUGCUUGCAGGUGCUGGAGCUUUCGAAAUGCCAUAACGUUACUGAUCGAGGAUUGGCACAUAUUAUAAAGUUACCAAGCAUAAAAACUGUAAAGCUUUUCAAGUGUGUAGGAGUUUCAGAUAUUGGGCUCAAUCCGCUUGUGGACACACACAAGUUGGAUUUGCUUGCAGUUGAAGACUGCCCCUACAUUACUGAUACAGGUAUAAAAGGGGCAGCAAAAUCUAUUGUCUACAAGCAAGAUUUGUCAUGGAUGUACUAGAUCAAUUUAUAGCUUCUCGACUCCAAAGCUCUGGCCUUAUUCUCCAUAAAGAUGGUGGAAGUAGCAUGGGCGAUCUGACUUUGAAUUCUUGUUUCAGGGCACGGAGACAGCUUCCAGUCCAACCAAUGCUGCCUGCACAGUGGAAUGAAAGAAUGGCUUCUCCUUCCAUUGAAUUUAAUAAGCAAAAUCUGUGAGUUCUUGUUCAAAUCUCACACAAUUUCUCUUAAUUAUUCCUUCAUUUCUGUUAGGUUUUUUUUGUUAGUCAAUAAAUUGAAUGAGAUGUAUUGAAACUCUAAUAAAUAAUUAGCUAUACUCUGAAUCUG